rnacentral:rRNA from 1 species
UGGCCCAGAUCGUUUACCGUGAAAAAAUUAGAGUGUUCAAAGCAGGCAGAUCCAAUUUUCUGCCACCGAAUACAUUAGCAUGGGAUAAUGGAAUAGGACCCUGUCCUCCUAUUUUCAGUUGGUUUUGGCAGCGCGAGGACUAGGGUAAUGAUUAAUAGGGAUAGUUGGGGGCAUUAAUAUUUAAUUGUCAGAGGUGAAAUUCUUGGAUUUAUGAAAGAUUAACUUCUGCGAAAGCAUCUGCCAAGGAUGUUUUCAUUAAUCAAGAACGAAAGUUAGGGGAUCGAAGACGAUCAGAUACCGUCGUAGUCUUAACCAUAAACGAUGCCGACCAGCGAUUAGGAGACGUUGAAUACAAAACACCACCAUCGGUGCGGUCGUCCUUGGCGUCGGUCUUUCGGGGCCGGCGC